AAAGACUUGACGGUACUUCACAACAACCUAGAGGAGCCUGUCCAAUAACCGAUACCCCACGAUUAACCCAACCCACCCUAGCCAAACAGUCUAUAUACCGCCGUCGCCAGCUUACCUUGUGAAAGAACUAAAGUAAGCAAAAUAAACCACCAUUAAUACGACAGGUCGAGGUGUAACUAAUGGGUGGGUGAAAGAUGGGCUACACUUUCUACUACAGAAAAUACGAACAAACUAUGAAACUAGAAACUGAAGGCGGAUUUAGCAGUAUGAUAAGAAUAGAAUACUUAACUGAAACCAACGCAAUGAAGUGCGCACACACCGCCCGUCAUCCCUG
rnacentral:rRNA from 1 species